GCUUCUGUGCAACAACUGCUACAGGCCCGGGCACUUGGCCGCCGAGUGCCCCAACGAAAAGGCAUGCAACAACUGCCGCCAGUCGGGCCACCUGGCGCGCGACUGCUCCAACACUCCCGUCUGCAACAGCUGCAGCCAGCCGGGCCACAUUGCCCGUGAGUGCCCCUACUCCUCCAUGCCGCCGCCAUCCUCCCGCGCCCUGGGAGCCUACUCCGAUAUCUUUUGUCGCAACUGCAAGCAACCGGGCCACAUGAGCAAGGACUGCAGGCAGGUGGUGGUAUGCCACAACUGCGGCGGCCGGGGUCACAUCGCCGUCGACUGCCCUUCCGACCCCAUGCUGGCGCGAGGAAUCAUGAGCAGGAGGCGCUGAU
rnacentral:lncRNA from 1 species